GCUAGGUUCAAUGUUCCCAGCCUG
rnacentral:siRNA from 1 species